CGUUAGCGGCGGACGGGUGAGUAACACGUGGGUAACCUACCUAUAAGACUGGAAUAACUCCGGGAAACCGGGGCUAAUGCCGGAUAACAUGUUGAACCGCAUGGUUCUACAGUGAAAGACGGUCUUGCUGUCACUUAUAGAUGGACCCGCGCCGUAUUAGCUAGUUGGUGGGGUAACGGCCUACCAAGGCGACGAUACGUAGCCGACCUGAGAGGGUGAUCGGCCACACUGGAACUGAGACACGGUCCAG
rnacentral:rRNA from 1 species